AACGAACGUUAGCGGCGCGCCUAACACAUGCAAGUCGAACGCGACAGGGGCAACUCUGUUGAGUGGCGCACGGGUGAGUAACACGUAGGUAAUCUCCCCCCGAGUGGUGGAUAACCUUCCGAAAGGAGGGCUAAUACAGCAUAAGACCACGGCUUCGAAAGGAGCUGAGGUCAAAGCGGAGGAUCGCAAGACUUCGCGCUUGGGGAUGAGCCUGCGGCCCAUCAGGUAGUUGGCGGGGUAACAGCCCACCAAGCCUAAGACGGGUAGCUGGUCUGAGAGGAUGAUCAGCCACACUGGAACUAAGACACGGUCCAGACUCCUACGGGAGGCAGCAGUGGGGAAUCUUGCGCAAUGGACGAAAGUCUGACGCAGCGACGCCGCGUGGGUGAUGAAGGCCUUCGGGUUGUAAAGCCCUGUGGGGAGGGACGAAUAAGUUUCAGCUAAUACCUGAAGCGAUGACGGUACCUCCUUAGCAAGCACCGGCUAACUCUGUGCCAGCAGCCGCAGUAA
rnacentral:rRNA from 1 species